rnacentral:rRNA from 1 species
AUACGGGGGGUGCAAGCGUUAAUCGGAAUUACUGGGCGUAAAGCGUACGUAGGCGGUUAGUUAAGUUAGAUGUGAAAGCCCCGGGCUUAACCUGGGAACUGCAUUUAAAACUGGCUAACUAGAGUUAAGUAGAGGGGAGUGGAAUUUCAGGUGUAGCGGUGAAAUGCGUAGAGAUCUGAAGGAACACCAGUGGCGAAGGCGACUCCCUGGACUUGAACUGACGCUGAGGUACGAAAGCGUGGGUAGCAAACGGGAUUAGAAACCCUAGUAGUCC